rnacentral:tRNA from 1 species
GGGUUUGUGGCGUAAUGGAUAACGCGUCUGACUUCGGAUCAGAAGAUUCCGGGUUCCAGUCCUGGUACACCUC